UUCUCAUUGCUUCAGAUGGGAACCCAAGCAGAUUAUCAGUGCGAGUCUAAGAGCAAGAAAUAUAAAGGCGGAUGUUUCACGAGCAGCAACUGUGCGGCUGGGUGCCAGACUGAGGCCGGUUUCACUGGCGGGAAGUGUCAUUUCUUGCACGGAUGCUGGUGUACCAAACCAUGUACUGUUUAUUCUAUUCCCAACUGAGAAG
rnacentral:misc_RNA from 1 species